rnacentral:rRNA from 1 species
AUUGAACGCUGGCGGCAUGCCUUACACAUGCAAGUCGAACGGCAGCACGGGAGCUUGCUCCUGGUGGCGAGUGGCGAACGGGUGAGUAAUACAUCGGAACGUACCCUGAAGUGGGGGAUAACGUAGCGAAAGUUACGCUAAUACCGCAUAUUCUGUGAGCAGGAAAGAGGGGGAUCGCAAGACCUCUUGCUUGAGGAGCGGCCGAUGUCGGAUUAGCUAGUUGGUGAGGUAAAGGCUCACCAAGGCGACGAUCCGUAGCGGGUCUGAGAGGAUGAUCGCCACACUGGGACUGAGACACGGCCCAGACUCCUACGGGAGGCAGCAGUGGGGAAUUUUGGACAAUGGGCGCAAGCCUGAUCCAGCCAUGCCGCGUGAGUGAAGAAGGCCU